AGUGAACGCUGGCGGCAUGCUUAGCACAUGCAAGUCGCACGCCCAGCAAUGGGAGUGGCGGACGGGUGAGUAACGCGUAGGAACGUAUCCAGAGGUGGGGGACAACCCCGGGAAACUGGGGCUAAUACCGCAUAUGGGCUGAGGCCCAAAGCAGUGAUGCGCCUUUGGAGCGGCCUGCGUCCGAUUAGGUAGUUGGGGGGGUAAUGGCCUACCAAGCCUGCGAUCGGUAGCGGGUCUGAGAGGACGAUCAGCCACACUGGGACUGAGACACGGCCCAGACUCCGACGGGAGGAAGGAGUGGGGAAUAUUGGACAAGGGGCGCAAGCCUGAUCCAGCAAUGCCGCGUGGGGGAAGAAGGUUUUCGGAUCGUAAAGCCCUUUCGACGGGGACGAUGAUGACGGUACCUGAAGAAGAAGCCCCGGCUAACUUCGUGCCAGCAGCCGCGGUAAGAC
rnacentral:rRNA from 1 species